rnacentral:tRNA from 1 species
GCCAAGGUAGCUCAGUUGGUAGAGCAAUGCACUGAAAAUGCAUGGGUCCCCAGUUCAAGUCUGGGCCUUGGCACCA